UACAGAGGUCUCAAGCGUUGUUCGGAUUCAUUGGGCGUAAAGGGUGCGUAGGUGGCGCUGUAAGUCGGGUGUGAAAUUUCGGAGCUUAACUCCGAAACUGCAUUCGAUACUGCGGUGCUCGAGGACUGGAGAGGAGACUGGAAUUCAUGGUGUAGCAGUGAAAUGCGUAGAGAUCAUGAGGAAGACUAGUGGCGAAAGGCGGGGUCUCUGG
rnacentral:rRNA from 1 species